GAGGCCUCCAAAAAGUUCUUUCUAAAGCUUUAGUUAUUUUCUUUUUGUUCUGGGCCCCCACUUCAUGACUGGAUACAGGAAUAAUCCCAAAAGAGGAAAAAUGGUGAUGUUCACGAUAUGCUGUGUCAGCUGGUGUAUUGGCUAGAGCUGCUCUGACAAUUUCUGUCUGACCCAUUCCUACAUGUCCAAGAGAGGCCAGCUUGCACCCAGCAUUUUUUCUUUAAUACAUUCAGUACCGAUGGCAAGCUGAUUGCAUGUUGUCCUUAACAGAUUUCUUUCAUAGUGAGUUAUCACUGACAUGGAAUGAAUUCCAUAAAUGGAAUUCAGUCAAGUUCCAUCUCUAAACUCCAGGUCUGAGGAGACUUCUUAAAUGGUCUCCUGUAAUUAAGAUUGUCAAUAAUAUAAAGGAGGAAGGUAUUUAUUAUGCAAGGUCUUCAGCUAACUAUCUAUACUAGGAGAUCUGAUUCUUCUGUUCUAUUUAGCCCAUCAUUAAAUCACAGAAAGAAAUAGGUGAGGCAAAGGAUUCUUGACUUUUUCCAAAGCAGAGUCUUCUUUUAUGUAAAUUAGCUUAAUACUUUAAGAGUAAAGUAGAGUUUUAAAUAUAAGGCUAGGAAAAAAUUGUUUAAAUAACCAUUUUUUACAUAAACA
rnacentral:lncRNA from 1 species